rnacentral:rRNA from 1 species
GACGAACGCUGGCGGCGUGCCUAAUACAUGCAAGUCGAACGCUUCUUUCCUCCCGAGUGCUUGCACUCAAUUGGAAAGAGGAGUUGCGGACGGGUGAGUAACACGCGGGUAACCUACCCAUCAGAGGGGGAUAACACUUGGAAACAGGUGCUAAUACCGCAUAACAGUUUAUGCCGCAUGGCAUAAGAGUGAAAGGCGCUUUCGGGUGUCGCUGAUGGAUGGACCGCGGUGCAUUAGCUAGUUGGUGAGGUAACGGCUCACCAAGGCCACGAUGCAUAGCCGACCUGAGAGGGUGAUCGGCCACACUGGGACUGAGACACGGCCCAGACUCCUACGGGAGGCAGCAGUAGGGAAUCUUCGGCAAUGGACGAAAGUCUGACCGAGCAACGCCGCGUGAGUGAAGAAGGUUUUCGGAUCGUAAAACUCUGUUGUUAGAGAAGAACAAGGACGUUAGUAACUGAACGUCCCCUGACGGUAUCUAACCAGAAAGCCACGGCUAACUACGUG